rnacentral:rRNA from 1 species
ACAUGCAAGUCGAGCGGUAACAGAGACUAGCUUGCUACAAUGAUGACGAGCGGCGGACGGGUGAGUAAUGCUUGAGAACAUGCCUUGAGGUGGGGGACAACAGUUGGAAACGACUGCUAAUACCGCAUAAUGUCUACGGACCAAAGGGGGCUUCGGCUCUCGCCUUUAGAUUGGCCCAAGUGGGAUUAGCUAGUUGGUGAGGUAAUGGCUCACCAAGGCAACGAUCCCUAGCUGGUUGGAGAGGAUGAUCACGCCACACUGGGACUGAGACACGGCCCAGACUCCUACGGGAGGCAGCAGUGGGGAAUAUUGCACAAUGGGCGCAAGCCUGAUGCAACCAUCCCGCGUGUGUGAAGAAGGCCUUCGGGUUGUAAAGCACUUUCAGUCAGGAGGAAGGUUAGUAGUUAAUACUGCUAGCUGUGACGUUACUGACAGAAGAAGCACCGGCUAACUCCGUGCCAGCAUCCACGGUAAUACGGAGGGUGCGAGCGUUAAUCGGAAUUACUGGGCGUAAAGCGUACGCAGCGGUUUGUUAAGCGAGAUGUGAAAGCGCGGGGCUCAACCUGGGAACUGCAUUUCGAACUGGCAAAAUAGAGUGUGAU